GGGGUAUAAUUGAAACGUAUCAGAUUCAUAGCAUGUUCUGUAAUAUACAUUGUCUCUUGUUCUUAUCAAAUAUAGAUACAAACCCAGCAACACUUUAAGGAUCCAAUAUACAGUACCAGUCAAAAGUUUGGACACACCUAAUCAUUCAAGGGUUUUUCUUUAUUUUUUACUAUGUUCUACAUUGUAGAACUAUGAAAUAACACAUAUGGAAUCAUAUAGUAACCAAUAUAUUUUAGCGUCUUCAAAGUAGCCAGCCUUUGCCUUGAUGACAGCUUUGCACACUCUUGGCAUUCUCUCAACCAGCUUCACCUGGAAUGGUUUUCCAACAGUCUUGAAGGAGUUCCCACAUAUACUGUGCACUAGUUGGCUGCUUUCCCUUCACUCUGCAGUCCAACUCAUCCCAAACCAUAUCAAUUGGGUUGAUUGUGCCUUGAAUUCUAAAUAAAUCAUUGACAGUGUCACCAGUAAAGCAACCCCACACCAUCACACCUCCUCCUCCAUGCUUCACGUGGGAACCACACAUGCGGAGAUCAUCCGUUCACCUACUGUGCAUCUCACAAAGACAGUGGUUGGAACCAAACAUCUCAAAUUUGGACUCAUCAGACCAAAGACCGGUCUAAUGGCCAUUGCUCAUGUUUCUUGGCCCAAGCAAGUCUCUUCUUCUUAUUGGUGUCCUUUAGUAGUGGUUUCUUUGCAGCAAUUUGCUUGUAGUCUCCUAGCAGCAAAAAGUUAUUGAAAUCUUCUGGAUUGACUGACCUUCAUGUCUUAAAGUAAUGAUGGACUUAGUCUUUUACCAAAUAGGCCUAUCUUCUGGAUACCACCCCUCCCUUGUCACAACACAAUUGAUUGGCUCAAAGAAGGAAAUACAUUCCACAAAUUCACUUUUAACAAGGCACACCUGUUAAUUGAAAUGACUACCUUAUGAAGCUGGUUGAGAGAAUGCCAAGAGUGUGCAAAGCUGUCAUCAAGGCAAAGGGUGGCUACUUUUAAGAAUCUCAAAUAUAAAAUAUAUUUUGAUUUAACACUUUUUUGGUUACUAAAUGAUUCCAUGUGUUAUUUCAUAGUUUUGAUGCCUUCACUAUUAUUCUACAAUGUAGAAAAUAGUAAAAAUAAAGAAAAACCCUGGAAUAAGUAGGUGUGUCCAAACUUUUGACUGGUACUGUAUAUUAAAAUAAACAAUGUUGAUACACGUAAGCAAUUAUUGUCGACAAUUGUAGGACCUAUAUAUUUACUGCAAUACAUCUCGGCAUGGAACUUGUUAUAGAAUAGAACUGAUUUUAUAUUGACAAUAUAGCAUUACCUCUUCAUCAGUACACAAAGCGUCAUAACAAAAUAAGCACCAGGAUCGUCCGUUUUUCUGUACAGUUAAUAAAUUGCUUAAGAGUUUUCUAAAUAUGCUUAUACUGCAACCAUAUGUUUUUUUAAAUCAAUCAUCACUCUUUUUUUAAAAUGUAUUUAUAUUUUUAAAAGUCGCAAAGCAACACUGAUUAGAAGGGCAAAACAAACAAAGCAACAGAACAGUUAAAAACUGUCAAAACAAAGGAAAAGAGCACAGUCCAAAAAUUCUGGUUAGGUUUAUUCCUUCUUUGAAAAUGCCUUUUUUUUCACACUGAAACUUAUUGAAAGAAAUAACGCAAAUAACAAUCUAAAACAGAUGAUUAAGUACAUUUUUUUAUAAUGCAGUAGAGGGACAUGUAUUGUAUACUACGACAAGUUCUGUUUGCUAUGUUCUACUGUAUAUUCAUAGAGCUGGGCCCUUAGGAACCUGUCCAUCCCAUGCUUCUCCCUUUUGGUUUACUUUAAUGCUUCAAGUUUGACAUCUACUCUUAUCGGUGGAGUUGGAAAUGAUCAUCUUAUGAUAGAACAUGGAGUCAAUUCUUUAUUGUAUUUUUUUGGUACUGCAAAUAAGAAGGGUGAUUUGUUUCAUGUGAAAAAGCAAAAUAAUCCAGAGCUUAAAAAAUGGCACUAUAACGCAUUACAAAAAAAGUCUCAACCACAGAAGGCACACAUCUAGAACUGAGCAUGUGGUGGAGAAGGGAAUCUAUAGUGAUUUGGGUAUGUAGACCAUUGGGUAAUAUGGCAGAUUUGAACCCAGUCAGGUCCACUCUACAGUGUCAAUAUUAGGACAGCCUCAAUCGCUGCUGUCCUAAUAUGGACACCGUACUACUCACACUGGUCAAGGAGAUUGCAGUUGGAAGGGUGGAGGAAGGUAAAGAAAGUUGUUACCCAGGGUGAUGCCUCUAAACCUGACCCCAUCUGGUUUCUCCUCGUACUCAUUUUCAAAAUGGCGCCCCCAAAAGCUAGAGGAACAUAUUCCACAUUAAAAACUACAGGGCAUGUUGACGACAACUUAAGGGUGAAUAGGAGCAAAGGCAUCAUUCUGGCACCUGAUCGAUCACCUAAUAGUACUUCCCAUCAACUCUACCAGUUUGACUUAAGUGCAGAAACCUGUGGUCCUGGAUACAUUGAAACAAAGUGAUGCCCCAACCUGUUUUGGGCCAUUGUCUCCAAAGCCUGACUCACUAUGGUAGACAGUAUUGCUUGUGAAGACACCUGGUGGUCAAACCAUGGAAUACAUGUUCUGUUUUUCAUUUGCGAGUUAUACAGCAAAACCCUCAUUUGCAUGUACAAUGAAUUGGAGCAAAAUGUAUAACAAAAAAAUUAACAACAACAUAGAAAACAAUCAUUACAUUUCUCCAAGUUAAACAAUGACUACAUUAUCAAAAGGCAAAGAUUAGGUAUAUUGCAACGCUCUCCAUGACACCUCUAUCAACAUUAUCAUCAUUGUUAUCAUCAACUAUAAGUCUCUGUCAAUAUGUGAGUCAGUUUAGGGCUAGUCUAGGCAGAUUGAUAGUACAGACGGAGCCCAAUCUGUCAGCACAGGCAGGCACACAAACACUGAACAUUGGCAGCACAAGCUGGUCUGUGUGGGACUCCCUCACUGAACACCGGCAUCUCUAUGGAACAGGAAGAGCUCAUUACAGACAGGGAACGGGGGUGAUCGAGUCAACCCUAAAGGCACACCAUUUGAAAUCUUUGGGAUUAUCUGUUUUGUCUGAGUGGUUCUGUUUUGCUUUCAUCUGAGCACCCAGUCUAGACGAUAGGGUUCAUUAGCGGGGCAAGGCAGCGUACAUUACUAACGCAACCAAACGAGAACGAAAAACAUUGGAUCUUGCAAUGACUUAAAUUUCUCUAUGAAGUACAUUGUAUUAGCAGAUAUGUUGAAAAGUUAAGUUCUGAGGAAAAAGUUGCUCUUUACUUGAUGCAACUUGACAUGAUACCCACAUUAUGUUGUUUUCAUUAACAUUCCUUAACGUCUGUUGUCAUUAUCCAUGACAUUUCAUUUCAAGUACCGAAAAAAGGUUGUUGUAAUGAACAGUCAUACAAUGUUACGACGGGCAUAAUACCAAGUGUUAUGUCAAGAUUACAAAGCAGUAUGGUUUGGUAUGCCAAUAGUAGGUACUCCUUAUUUGUUUCUAAUGGGUCAAUUCCCACCCUGCCUGCAUAGUUAUCAGUCAACACUGGUUUCCCUGAAGAAAAACCUACACAAGCUCCCCUCUGAGGUCAUCAAACUGCAUCAUGAGAUGUCACCAGGGGUCAGAAGUCAAAGAGCCACGCCCCUUAGAUCAAUCCUUUAGCUGCUUGCUUAUGAGGGGUCAGACAUUUUUCUUUUGACUUAGGUAUUUGUCCUCAAAUUGAAUGUAAAGAUACAGUACAAAAUAAAUUAAGCAGGGCCAAUGGGGAGAAAGCAAGAGGGGCAAGCGGACAGCCUUGUCUGGUGUUUUUUUUCAUCGACCUCUGUCCUCUCUUCCCUCCCUCUCUCUUCUUUGCUGUGAUACCAGCUUAAGUUGAGACCCCUUGCAGUUUGAGUCUUGCCUCAGAGGAAGAAGUUGAAUCAUGUCAAUAGAGAAGUGCGACCAAUGCUGACAGAGGGAGAUUGUGACUCUCUCCUGCUUAAUUAAAGUGCUAAGAGAUGCCUGUUGGAGAGAAGCCUAGACAGUAGGCGGAUGUGUCCAGCGUACAGUUGCCUGCUAAUCUAUCUCCCACUCCCUUUCUUUUACUUUCCUCACUACCUCUCUCCCUCAUCAGCAUCUUGGGGCAAUUUCACCCUACUUCUGGUCAGACCAUCUGGGCUCUCUGCAGAUAAAGGACUUGAACUGGAGUUUAAAGGUUGAUGUCUCUGUCAUUCAUGAUCACACAUGUACAGAAAAUUCCAGGAACCUCAUUUAUAAACAUUGUGCGUGUACAAAAUAUGCAUGCGCCAGUUUUCACGCAACAGUUGGCAUUCAUAAAAACUGACAAUUGAAUGUGCUUAUCCUCCCACAAACUGUAGACCAUGGGUAAGCACAGUUUUUAGUUGUUGAAGUAUUGCAUUGCAAGAAGGCAAAUGUACCCUAGUAGCCUUGUGCAAAUUGGGAAUAUAUAAUGACUUAUUCAUAACAAAAAAACAGGUAGCUAAAUAUAAUAAUAAGAUGCAAUCAUUUGCUGUUAGUGAGAUGAGCAAAAUUCAAUUUAUUUCAUCUUUGCAUUCUAAAAUAAUUUGAAAUCUAUUUCCGAUUAUUUAUUUCAUUUCCAUGAUAAUUGCAGAAUAAAUUCCUCACCUUUUCUGACUGUGAUGGUUUCAUACUAGUGAAAUAGCCUAUAGGUCUACAACAAGAUAGGAUGGGCUAUCAUUCGUCCCAUCUCUCAUUUAAUUGGACCACUUCAUAAUACUAAAAAGAUAAGCUACCGGUAUUUAAAGUAUUUUGCUCUAUUCGAUCUGAUGUGCAGUUUAACGGUAGAAGAAGGCUCACCUUUUCCAUUGACGUUUGAAGGCUACGUCUGAAUACUACAUCUAAAUACUGUAAUGUCAAAUUUCUCGAGCAGCCUAAACAAUAUUUUAUUUGUAAAAAUGAUGCAUAAUAUCAUAACGACUGCACCUUUUCUGGCAUUGAUAGUUAAUAUUCCCGAAGCAGCAAUACAACAAAUGACCAUGCACAUCUCUCAUUUAAUUGGGCCUAUUAGAAAGGCUAUUAUAAUUUCAUUUUUUUAAUACGUUUUUUUGCUCAAUGCAGCCAAAAGGGAGCGCAGUUUACAUACAGUAGAAUUUAACAGGUGAACAGACAGUUGAUCUUUUGCCUUGAAGUGUGUAGCUACCACUGUAAGUAGGCCUACUGUAAUUUAAAUGUUUUUCAGAAUUUGUGGACAGUGCAUAAUAUUUAGGUUCGGGUGAAAGUAAAUGCAAAACAUUAUUGAAUAAAAACGAUCUGUUUACAAGUCCACAACAAUUUGCAAUUGUUUUUGUGUUUCAGAAAUGGUCAAACAGCAAAUGUCACUGAAAAUAUCAAUAUUUUUUUCAGAAAUAGCGCACGCAGCUAUUGAGAGUAAAAUGUACGCAACGGUUAUAAAUGAGGCCCCACGUUUCCUUGACAAUAGAGGUGAAUUUUUAUUUCUCGUUCCAUUUCAUUAUAAUAAAAAAUAGUGCAAUUCUUUUUAACAAUUAGGCUAUAUAAAUAACUCUAAAAUCGCCAUUUUUAAGUUAGUUUAUUUGUUUCCACAUACAUAUAUAUUAU
rnacentral:lncRNA from 1 species